GUCUCAGGAUGGUGCGCCCCAGGAAACACUGAUCUCGGACAAGCCCCCAGAUGAAAGAUCCCCGAAGAGACCCUUUCGAAAGUCGCGGGAAAUCGCAGACCCCAGACACAGAGAGACCA
rnacentral:pre_miRNA from 14 species